GUCCCUGUAGCUUAACGGAUAAAGCGCAGCCCUCCGAAGGCUGAGAUCGAGGUUCAAUUCCCCGCAGGGACA
rnacentral:tRNA from 1 species